UUGAAAAAUCGGUUCCCGUACGAUCACCUAAAUUAAACAACUUCGAGCCUCGACAGUACCUCGGUGGGUGACCGCUUGAGAAUACCGGGUGGGGCA